rnacentral:rRNA from 1 species
AGCGAACGCUGGCGGCAGGCUUAACACAUGCAAGUCGAGCGCCGUAGCAAUACGGAGCGGCAGACGGGUGAGUAACGCGUGGGAACGUGCCUUCUGGUUCGGAAUAACUCAGGGAAACUUGAGCUAAUACCGGAUAAGCCCUUCGGGGGAAAGAUUUAUCGCCGGAAGAUCGGCCCGCGUAAGAUUAGCUAGUUGGUGAGGUAAUGGCUCACCAAGGCUACGAUCUUUAGCUGGUCUGAGAGGAUGAUCAGCCACACUGGGAAUGAGACGCGGCCCAGACUCCUACGGGAGGCAGCAGUGGGGAAUAGUGGACAAUGGGCGCAAGCCUGAUCCAGCCAUGCCGCGUGAGUGAUGAAGGCCUUAGGGUUGUAAAGCUCUUUUAGCAGGGACGAUAAUGACGGUACCUGCAGAAAAAGCCCCGGCCAACUUCGUGCCAGCCGCCGCGGUAA